rnacentral:rRNA from 1 species
CCUACGGGAGGCAGCAGUGAGGAAUAUUGGUCAAUGGACGAGAGUCUGAACCAGCCAAGUAGCGUGAAGGAUGACUGCCCUACGGGUUGUAAACUUCUUUUAUAUGGGAAUAAAGUGUUCCACGUGUGGGACUUUGUAUGUACCAUAUGAAUAAGGAUAGGCUAACUCCGUGCCAGCAGCCGCGGUAAUACGGAGGAUCCGAGCGUUAUCCGGAUUUAUUGGGUUUAAAGGGUGCGUAGGUGGAUUGUUAAGUCAGUUGUGAAAGUUUGCGGCUCAAACGUAAAAUUGCCGUUGAAACUGGCAGUCUUGAGUACAGUAGAGGUGGGCGGAAUUCGUGGUGUAGCGGUGAAAUGCUUAGAUAUCACGAAGAACUCCGAUUGCGAAGGCAGCUCACUGGACUGCAACUGACACUGAGGCUCGAAAGUGUGGGUAUCAAACAGGAUUAGAUACCCGGGUAGUC